AGAACGAACGCUGGCGGCAGGCUUAACACAUGCAAGUCGAACGAACGUAGCAAUACGUUAGUGGCGCACGGGUGAGUAACACGUGGAUAUCUGCCUUUUGGUUCGGGAUAACCCUGGGAAACUAGGGCUAAUACCGAAUGGUUCCUACGGGAUAAAGAUUUAUCGCCAAAAAGAUGAGUCCGCGUCCGAUUAGCUAGUUGGUGAGGUAAUGGCUCACCAAGGCGACGAUCGGUAGCUGGUCUGAGAGGACGAUCAGCCACACUGGGACUGAGACACGGCCCAGACUCCUACGGGAGGCAGCAGUGGGGAAUAUUGGACAAUGGGGGCAACCCUGAUCCAGCCAUGCCGCGUGAGUGAUGAAGGCCUUCGGGUGUAAAGCUCUUUUGGCGGGACGAUGAUGACGGUACCCGCAGAAUAAGCCCCGGCUAACUCGUGCCAGCAGCCGC
rnacentral:rRNA from 1 species